CCCGGUAUAGCUCAAGGGAAGAGUGGUCGGCUCAUAAUCGACAGGUUGUUGGUUCAAAUCCAACUACCGGGA
rnacentral:tRNA from 3 species